UACAGAGGGGGCAAGCGUUGUUCGGAAUUACUGGGCGUAAAGCGCGUGUAGGCGGCCAGAAAAGUCCGCUGUGAAAACUCGAGGCUCAACUUCGAGCUGUCGGUGGAAACUUUCUGGCUAGAGUCCGGAAGAGGAGAAUGGAAUUCCUGGUGUAGCGGUGAAAUGCGCAGAUAUCAGGAAGAACACCCGUGGCGAAGGCGGUUCUCUGGGACGGUACUGACGCUGAGACGCGAAAGCGUGGGGAGCGAACAGG
rnacentral:rRNA from 1 species